rnacentral:rRNA from 1 species
ACGCUGGCGGCGUGCCUAAUACAUGCAAGUCGAGCGGAAUGAUGAAGAAGCUUGCUUUCUUCUGAUUUUUAGCGGCGGACGGGUGAGUAACACGUGGGCAACCUACCUUGUAGAUUGGGAUAACUCCGGGAAACCGGGGCUAAUACCGAAUAAUCCAUUUUGCUUUCAUGGCAAGAUGUUAAAAGGCGGCUUCGGCUGUCACUACGAGAUGGGCCCGCGGCGCAUUAGCUAGUUGGUAGGGUAAUGGCCUACCAAGGCGACGAUGCGUAGCCGACCUGAGAGGGUGAUCGGCCACACUGGGACUGAGACACGGCCCAGACUCCUACGGGAGGCAGCAGUAGGGAAUCUUCCACAAUGGACGAAAGUCUGAUGGAGCAACGCCGCGUGAGUGAAGAAGGUUUUCGGAUCGUAAAACUCUGUUGUAAGGGAAGAACACGUACGAGAGUAACUGCUCGUACCUUGACGGUACCUUAUUAGAAAGCCACGGCUAACUACGUG